rnacentral:rRNA from 1 species
CCUACGGGAGGCAGCAGUGGGGAAUAUUGGGCAAUGGAGGAAACUCUGACCCAGCGACGCCGCGUGAGGGAUGAAGGCCUUCGGGUUGUAAACCUCUUUCAGUAGGGAAGAAGCGAAAGUGACGGUACCUACAGAAGAAGCACCAGCUAACUAUGUGCCAGCAGCCGCGGUAAU